CCACCUAUUGCAAUAGUGAUAUCGGCCUUCUAAUCCGCAGGUCGUUGGUUCGAGUCCAACCGGGUGUGCCA
rnacentral:tRNA from 1 species